rnacentral:rRNA from 1 species
GAGGUCCCGCCUGCCCAGUGAUUUAAUUUAACGGCCGCGGUAUCCUAACCGUGCGAAGGUAGCGUAAUCACUUGUUCUUUAAAUGAGGACUAGUAUGAAUGGCAUCACGAGGGUUUUACUGUCUCCUUUUCUUAAUCAGUGAAACUAAUCUUCCCGUGAAGAAGCGGGAAUAAACGAAUAAGACGAGAAGACCCUAUGGAGCUUUAAACACAAUAACAAGUACUACUUUAAACAAAAUUUCUUAAUAACUUACUACCUGGUACUAUGAUUAUUAGUUUUAGGUUGGGGUGACCGCGGAGAAAAACAUAACCUCCACAUGAAUGAUAAAAUUCUAAGCAAAGAAUUACAUCUCUAAGCAUCAAUAUAUUGACAUCAAUUGACCCAAUUAUUUUGAUCAACGAACCAAGUUACCCUAGGGAUAACAGCGCAAUCUACUUCAAGAGCCCAUAUCGACAAGUGGGUUUACGACCUCGAUGUUGGAUCAGGGUACCCCAGUGGUGCAGCCGCUACUAAAGGUUCGU